rnacentral:rRNA from 1 species
GACGAACGCUGGCGGCGUGCCUAAUACAUGCAAGUCGAACGAGAGCGACCGGUGCUUGCACUGGUCAAUCUAGUGGCGGACGGGUGAGUAACACGUGGGUAACCUGCUCAUCAGAGGGGGAUAACAUCCGGAAACGGAUGCUAAAACCGCAUAGGUCUUCGAGCCGCAUGGCUUGAAGAGGAAAAGAGGCGCAAGCUUCUGCUGAUGGAUGGACCCGCGGUGCAUUAGCUAGUUGGUGAGGUAACGGCUCACCAAGGCCGUGAUGCAUAGCCGACCUGAGAGGGUGAUCGGCCACAUUGGGACUGAGACACGGCCCAAACUCCUACGGGAGGCAGCAGUAGGGAAUCUUCCGCAAUGGACGCAAGUCUGACGGAGCAACGCCGCGUGAGUGAAGAAGGUUUUCGGAUCGUAAAACUCUGUUGUUAGAGAAGAACAAGUGCUAGAGUAACUGUUAGCGCCUUGACGGUAGCUAACCAGAAAGCCACGGCUAACUACGUG